AACAAACGCUGGCGGCGUGCCUAACACAUGCAAGUCGUACGAGAAAGGGUCCUUCGGGGCCUGAGUAAAGUGGCGCACGGGUGAGUAACGCGUGGAUAAUCUGCCCUUCAGUUGGGAAUAACUCAUCGAAAGGUGGGCUAAUACCGAAUAAUGCUGUGAGACCUCGGUUGAUCAGCCAAAGAGAGCCUCUGCUUGCAAGCCCUCGCUGAAGGAUGAGUCCGCGUACCAUUAGCUAGUUGGUAGGGUAAUGGCCUACCAAGGCGGCGAUGGUUAGCUGGUCUGAGAGGAUGAUCAGACACACUGGAACUGGGACACGGUGCAGACUCCUACGGGAGGCAGCAGUGAGGAAUCUUGCGCAAUGGGGGCAACCCUGACGCAGCAACGCCGCGUGGGUGAGGAAGGUCUUCGGAUCGUAAAGCUCUGUCGGAUGGAAAGAACCGCAUAGGGGUAAACAGCCCCUGUGUCUGACGGUACCAUCAAAGGAAGCACCGGCUAACUCCGUGCCAGCCGCCGCGGUAAGAC
rnacentral:rRNA from 1 species